CUCUAUUUUCCUAAGUAUACUCAGCCAUUCUGCGUCAACCAGAGCUAAAGGAAUCUAUUCACAUAAAAAUUUGCCAGUAAUACUCCUGGUUGUUGUUUAGCUAGCAGGUCAGGCCAGGCUUUUGCUAGAGAUUGACUGUAAGCUGCUUCUCAGGAAAGGAGAAGUGCUCUGGAAACCUGCAGAUGAAAAUGAAAAGAAAACGUCAUCAUGGUCAGAGGAGGAGGAAGCGCCUGCAACAGCAGCAGCAGCAGCAGCAGCAGCAGCAGCAGCAGCAGCAGCAGCAGCAGCAGCAGCAGCAGCAGGAUCGACAGGAUCAGCAGCAGGAUCAGCAGCAAGGGCAGCAGCAACAGCACGGGCAGCAGGGGCAGCAGGGGCAGCAGCUGCAGCAGCAGGAGCAGCAGCUGUGCCAGCAGCAGCAACAGUGCCAGCAGUGCCAGCAACUGCAGCAGCAGCAGCAGCAACAGCAGCAGCAGCAACGUAGGAGGAGAAAAAACAGGAGAAGCCGGAGGAGCAGGAAGAGCAAGAGGACCAGGAGGACCAGGAGGACCAGGAACACCAGGAGGAGGCGAAGAAGAAAUAAUGAGUGAUUGUGUCUACAUUUACAGAAAGAGUUUGAUGUGGUAGAAAUGUUGAUUCCUUGGAGAAAUGUGUACUCAAGAAUUUACUCAUGUAGAGUCUCACUAUGCUGCCAUCUGAGACUUCGAGUUCAUUACUGAAACCAUGCUUCUUCCCAGCAUCACGAGAAGAACACAACAGAUACAGAUCACCACAUUUAGCUGGUGGUAUUGUAAAAGCUCUUCAUUACUGACUUUCAUUUUUGCUUGUGUAUAAUUUGAAUCAAAUUUUAUAUUUUCUCAUUUACUACAAGUUUGCUUAACUCAUAUUUAGAUGUAACCAUAUUUUAUUACAUACCAUGUUUUUUAGAUUACAAAAGAUAUUUAAGUAAUGAAAAUAUUUGUAAUUUUUUAUUGGUUAUUUUCUUUGUUUACAUUUUAAGUGUUCUCCACAUUUCUGAUUCCAUCUCCGCAAACUGCCUAUUUCAUACCCAUUCCCCCUGCUUCUAUGAGAGUGCUCCCGAGCCCACCCACCCAUUUCCCCUUCACUGCAUUUCCUUAUGAUAUGGCAUCAAGUCUCCACAAGACCAAGAGCGUUCCCUCCCACUGAUGUCAGAAAAGCCAGUCCUCUGCUACAUAAGCAGCUGGAGCUAUGGGCUCUUCUAUGUGUAUUCUUUGGUUGGUGGUUCAGUGGAGCUCUGGGAGGUCUUGGUGAUUGAUAGUUUUGUAUAUUAUACUUUUCACUAUUUAAAACAAUAUUUUAAUUAAAUAUUCAAUGAUAUUAUACCACUUCCUCAAGUUCUUCAGCUCCUUUCCUACUUUCAUGCCAUCAUUAAGCCCCUUUGCCAAAAGAAAACAAAAUAAAUUAAAACACAACAACAACAAAGCCAAAAA
rnacentral:lncRNA from 1 species